ACAAAAACAUAGCUGUGAAUUGUGAGUUGUACUCUGUACAUUGUAUCACUUGGACAGCAAGGAUCUCAAGGUAAUGUUGUAUGGUUGUAACCUCAAUGGUGUUGUUGCAACUAGAUCACAACAAAGCUUUUCACAAAAGCACACCGGAUAUCACACACUACUCUUUUCUUGACAUAUGAAACACAUCAGAAUGCAUCAAUAGAAGGAUAUGGAGAGCCCAACUGUACAUCGGGGGUACACAAGAAAUAAUACUGGCUCUGUAUCCAAGAAACAAACGUCCUUUAAAUUGCACAAGGUGCUAAGGCACUUCUUCACUCAGUGGACUACAAUACAUAGAAAUGUGUGUAAAAGGCCCGACAUCUCAAACCCUUAGAUAAGUAUACAUUAAGGUAAAGAUCGAUUGCCUUCAGAGUUAAUAAAUAUCAGCUUUAAUGGCCAUCACACAUUUCUGAAGAUAUUGAAAACAUUUGUGGUUUGAUAGUGUCUCCCUCAUCAUCACACCUCUUCUUUCAGUCCCCUUCCUUGUUUCUGUUAAGCUGUGUUUAUGUUUUAUACAGGUUCCUGGUGCACAAAGC